AGAACGAACGCUGGCGGCAGGCCUAAUACAUGCAAGUCGAACGCACUCUUCGGAGUGAGUGGCAGACGGGUGAGUAACGCGUGGGAACCUUCCCAAUGGUACGGAAUAACUCCGGGAAACCGGUGCUAAUACCGUAUAAGCCCCUCGGGGGAAAGAUUUAUCGCCAUUGGAUGGGCCCGCGUCGGAUUAGCUAGUUGGUAAGGUAAUGGCUUACCAAGGCUACGAUCCGUAGCUGGUCUGAGAGGAUGAUCAGCCACACUGGGACUGAGACACGGCCCAGACUCCUACGGGAGGCAGCAGUAGGGAAUCUUGGACAAUGGGCGAAAGCCUGAUCCAGCCAUGCCGCGUGAGUGAAGAAGGCCUUAGGGUUGUAAAGCUCGUUUUGGCGGGGACGAUAAUGACGGUACCGCAGAAUAAGCCCGGCUAACUUCGUGCCAGCAGCCGC
rnacentral:rRNA from 1 species